rnacentral:tRNA from 1 species
GGGAGGGCUCUGGCUCAGUGGUAGAGCAUCUGCUUGAUAUAUAGAAGGCCCCAGGUUCAAUCCCUAGCUUCCCCU